GCGGACAUGGCGGAAUUGGCAGACGCGCUGGUUUCAGGUACCAGUGGUAGCAAUACCUUGCAGGUUCAAGUCCUGUUGUCCGCA
rnacentral:tRNA from 1 species